CACUGAGCUUCUGACAUGAGAGAAAUCUGACAAGUGUAACUGCUGAUCGACAAUACAGGUUUCUGGGCUCACAGCCUCAAACCCAAUCACAUAAAUGACCUGAAUGUGAAUGAAUUACCUCUAGCGACCUCUAGUGGUCACUUACACAUAUUGUUCCCCUCAAAGGUUGUGUUAAGUGUUAGGUGCUGGUAUAGAUAGAUAGAUAGAUAGAUAGAUAGAUAGAUAGAUAGAUAGAUAGAGAUUAGUUUGAUGUUAUUUCUGUACAGAAUUUGAUGAAGUUUUGCGUUAAUGAAUGUUUAAAGUUUG
ensembl:lncRNA